rnacentral:rRNA from 1 species
GAUGAACGCUGGCGGUAUGCUUAACACAUGCAAGUCGAACGGACUCUUCGGAGUUAGUGGCGGACGGGUGAGUAACGCGUGAGAAUCUGGCUUUGGGUUCGGGACAACCACUGGAAACGGUGGCUAAUACCGGAUGUGCCGAGAGGUAAAAGAGAAAUUGCCUGAAGAUGAGCUCGCGUCUGAUUAGCUAGUUGGUGAGGUAAAGGCUCACCAAGGCAGCGAUCAGUAGCUGGUCUGAGAGGAUGACCAGCCACACUGGGACUGAGACACGGCCCAGACUCCUACGGGAGGCAGCAGUGGGGAAUUUUCCGCAAUGGGCGAAAGCCUGACGGAGCAAUACCGCGUGAGGGAAGAAGACUCUUGGGUUGUAAACCUCUUUUCUUAGGGAAGAACAAAAUGACGGUACCUAAGGAAUCAGCAUCGGCUAACUCCGUG